AUUGAACGCUGGCGGCAUGCUUUACACAUGCAAGUCGAACGGGGUGGAGGGGCAACUCUCCAUUCAGUGGCGAACGGGUGAGUAAUGCAUCGGAACGUGUCCCGCAGUGGGGGAUAACGCCGCGAAAGCGGCGCUAAUACCGCAUACGCUCUACGGAGGAAAGCAGGGGACCCGCGAGGGCCUUGUGCUAGGGGGGCGGCCGAUGUCCGAUUAGCUUGUUGGUGGGGUAAUGGCCCACCAAGGCGACGGUCGGUAGCUGGUCUGAGAGGAUGAUCAGCAACACUGGGACUGAGACACGGCCCAGACUCCUACGGGAGGCAGCAGUGGGGAAUUUUGGACAAUGGGGGCAACCCUGAUCCAGCCAUGCCGCGUGCGGGAAGAAGGCCUUCGGGUUGUAAACCGCUUUUAGCCGGGACGAAAGCUCUACGGAUAACACCCGUGGGGGUUGACGGUACCGGCGGAAUAAGCACCGGCUAACUACGUGCCAGCCGCCGCCGUAAGAC
rnacentral:rRNA from 1 species